rnacentral:tRNA from 1 species
GCGUCAAUAGCUCCAAUGGUCAGAGCGUCCGGCUUAUAUCCGGAAGUGUCGGGGUUCGAGUCCCUGUUGACGUACCA